UUCGCGACGUCCACCUCUUCACUCUGCUGGUAGAGUUUCCCCACGGCUUCGCUGAUGGCCGGGUGCCAGGUGACGGCGCGGUUGACGGCGUCGCCCAGCUGCAGUGUGCCCGGCGCGGCGUUGCCCGCCGCCGGGGCAACGCGGCCGUUGAGCGAGGGGAGUUCCUGCGUGUCGCGGAGUUCGCCGGUAUUGAUGGUUGCCGCCGGGUUCGCGCAGAGAGCGGGCACAGAUAUCAGGCAGCACGAGAGCCACCAGUAAGGCAUCUUCAUUCCCAUGUCAUGUCCCUAAUAAAAUAAGUGCAGCUUUAUUAUUAAUGCCCGGGCGCGGUGCGCCCGGG
rnacentral:sRNA from 1 species